rnacentral:rRNA from 1 species
AUUGAACGCUGGCGGCAGGCCUAACACAUGCAAGUCGAACGAGUGGCGGAAGGGUGAGUAAUGUCUGGGAAACUGCCUGAUGGAGGGGGAUAACUACUGGAACAGGUAGCUAAUACCGCAUACCAUCGGAUGUGCACAGAUGGGAUUAGCUAGUAGGUGUGGUAAAGGCUCACCUAGGCGACGAUCCCUAGCGGGUCUGAGAGGAGGACCAGCCACACGGGAACUGAGACACGGUCCAGACUCCUACGGGAGGCAGCAGUUGGGAAUAUUGCACAAUGGGCGCAAGCCUGAUGCAGCCAUGCCGCGUGUAUGAAGAAGGCCUUCGGUUUGUAAAGUACUUUCAUCGGGGAGGCGGUACCCGCAGAAGAAGCACCGGCUAACUCCGUGCCAGCCGCCGCGGUAAUAC